AUACGUAGGUGGCGAGCGUUAUCCGGAAUUAUUGGGUGUAAAGGGUGCGUAGGCGGGAUGUAAAGUCAGAUGUGAAAUACCGUGGCUUAACCACGGGGCUGCAUUUGAAACUUAUGUCCUUGAGUUAAGUAGAGGCAAGUGGAAUUCCCAGUGUAGCGGUGAAAUGCGUAGAUAUUGGGAGGAACACCAGUGGCGAAGGCGACUUGCUGGGCUUAUACUGACGCUGAGGCACGAAAGUGUGGGGAGCAAACAGGAUUAGAGGCCCUGGUAGUCCACACUGUAAAUGAUGAUUACUAGGUGUAGGGUGGCUGAACCAUUCUGUGCCGGAGUUAACACAAUAAGUAAUCCGCCUGGGGAGUACGGCCGCAAGGUUGA
rnacentral:rRNA from 1 species